rnacentral:rRNA from 1 species
UACGUAGGUGGCAAGCGUUGUCCGGAAUUAUUGGGCGUAAAGCGCGCGCAGGCGGUCCUUUAAGUCUGAUGUGAAAGCCCACGGCUCAACCGUGGAGGGUCAUUGGAAACUGGGGGACUUGAGUACAGAAGAGAAGAGUGGAAUUCCACGUGGUAGCGGUGAAAUGCGUAGAGAUGUGGAGGAACACCAGUGGCGAAGGCGACGUCUUUGGUCUGUAA